rnacentral:lncRNA from 1 species
AAAACAAAUGUGGCAUUUUUGGUAAGCUGGAUUGGAUGGGACUCGACAAUAUUAAGAAAGAAAUAGGGCUAAAAUAUUGUCUACUGUACUUUCCCGUACUAUAUAUAUUUUGUACCGAACAUGUGCAGGGUGCUUACCCACAGCUGUAGACUACAUUGUGAAUCACAUUUGUUUUACUUCGCUCAUCAAGGAUAGGCAAAAAACAUUCAUCCAUAACAGAAUAUGCCACAGCUAACUUGGAAUUACUUUCAACCUCUAAAAUAUUGCCAUUAACAGAAGGACCACAGCUAAUAUCACGCCGUUGAAGAAUAGAGUAGGAAUAUUCUUCUUCUAGUUCCUGUUUACUUCCAAGAAGUGCCUGCAAGUGCUCAAAAAUCUGUAGACCCAAAGCACUAGAAUCAAAUCAAUGCAAAAAUGAAAUUAAGGAGCUAUAAGUUUAAUAAUCACUCGAUCUAAAUAUAUAAAGCUUAACUUGAUUAAUGCAGUACACAUAUGCAUAUAUAUGAUAAGAAAGAUCUCGGAAAAUCAUACAUCCAAAAUAAUAAUCUAAUGAGUUGCAAAUUAUGGCCUAUAUCUAAAAAUAUUCUCUUCAUGGGCAUGAAAGCAAAGGUUUUUAUUAACCUCAUCUUGUUCUCUCUUUUCAUUGAUCGUUAAGAAUAUCAUUAGGAUUACAAGAUACUUAGUGGCAAACUAAAUUCUAUAGAGAUGUGACAAAACUGCAGCGAUACAAAAGAUUUGAUGCAUCACCAAGCACACAAGCACAUGAUAAGAAUUUCUUGAUUACAAAAUCAAUGCCCACGUGAACCAAACAAGCAUACAUCAUGCAGUUGCUUCAACGAAAGUAUCAGAUGAUCAAACCUAGAAUCGUGAAGGCAGGGAGUACAAAAGGAAGUUUUAAUUUACUGAAUAUCUGUUUUUGUUACGUAUCAUACAUGUCAGGAAAGUUAUUAAUCGUUUCCAACUCAGAAAAGGACAGGAUCAGGGAAGUUGUUCAAGGAAAAUUAGAAAUGAAUGGCAGAUGAUCCAACUAAAUGCAAAAAACCAAGACCAAGGUCAUGGGAUAAAAUAGAAAGUUAUACUCCUUAUGCAUUUCCCUUAAAUAUUCUGGACCCUACAAGUUACUAUCUUCAUGCAUAGCCUCUAAAUAUUCAAGACUUUAAAAACUUACAACAUGCA